CCUACGGGGUGCAGCAGUGGGGAAUAUUGCACAAUGGGCGCAAGCCUGAUGCAGCCAUGCCGCGUGUAUGAAGAAGGCCUUCGGGUUGUAAAGUACUUUCAGCGGGGAGGAAGGUGUCGUGGUUAAUAACCACAGCAAUUGACGUUACCCGCAGAAGAAGCACCGGCUAACUCCGUGCCAGCAGCCGCGGUAAUACGGAGGGUGCAAGCGUUAAUCGGAAUUACUGGGCGUAAAGCGCACGCAGGCGGUCUGUCAAGUCGGAUGUGAAAUCCCCGGGCUCAACCUGGGAACUGCAUUCGAAACUGGCAGGCUAGAGUCUUGUAGAAGGGGGUAGAAUUCCAGGUGUAGCGGUGGAAUGCGUAGAGAUCUGGAGGAAUACCGGUGGCGAAGGCGGCCCCCUGGACAAAGACUGACGCUCAGGUGCGAAAGCGUGGGGAGCAAACAGGAUUAGAUACCCCUGUAGUC
rnacentral:rRNA from 1 species